rnacentral:tRNA from 13 species
GCUGCUGUAGCUCAGUCGGUAGAGCGCAUCCUUGGUAAGGAUGAGGUCGGCGGUUCGAAUCCGCCCAGCAGCUCCA